AGUUCCCGUCAUGGACUGCGCAUGCCCCAGCCCCCCCCCCCCCGACCUCUGCGCAAACUCCCCAGCCUGCCGUGUUCCCAUGGCAACCCCUCCGGCCCCCCAUCUGGCCUGGCGCAGCCCCCCUGCCCCCAAACACCCCUAGACCCCUUGGCGCCCCCCCCUGUGAAUCCCGAUGGGGGUCCCCCUCCCCUCGGCCCUGCUGCCGUCCCGCGUGCGGGUAACAGCCCCCGGGGGCGAAGGGCAGUGGGGGGGGGGGGUAGAUAGAGUCCCCCCCCGCAGUCCCGCGAGAGCGGAUGGUUCGUUGUGGUGUUUAGUGGAAGGUUGGACGCAGCGGUGACCUGGCUCGGGGUGCGGCGGCCGCUUAGAUGGUAGUGAACGGACCGUGAAGAAAGGAGCUAGAGAGACCGAGGGUCGACAGGAAGCGCGAAAGAUGCCCAAGAGCGAUGGUGAGAGACUAACACGGCUGUUACUCUGAAACCGGUGAGAGAAAGGUGCUGGGGGGAAAGCGACGCACAGUACGCAGUUACAGUAACACACGCUUGCAGCCAGGGUAUAACUGCUCACUGACUGCUGUCCUUCCCACUAAGGUUAUGGGUGAGUUUUAAAUGGCACAACUUGCAAAUGACAAGGACAAGCACUAGUCUAGUGUGCUGAGGGACUGGCUCAGAAAAGUAGCCCAGCAGAAACAUCCUGUUAUGAAUAACUGUGCACUGCCUAAUGAUGCUCAAGGUCCCUCUCAAUGUGUUCUUGGGAAAGGGGAGUUUGUGUUAGAGACACGCAAACAAUUCCCAGGGAAGACUGGAUUUGCUCUGCUUCAAAAACAUUCAGAUUGUGAAAUUUCCUGGGUACUUGGUUCUCUGAUAUUGUUCACAGUUUGUUGUCACGGAUGUCUAUGGGAAUUUUGCCAUUGACUUCAGUGCAGACAGGAUAUCACCCCAGCAGUUUUCAAUUAAUUUUUUUGAGGGUUUUUUUUUUCUUCCCUGAAACAAUCCCAUCUGAGCUUCAUCACUUGACCACAGGAACGUCACUUGUGUCUCAGUCAAACAAUGUUACAGGGUAAAAGGAACAAACCUAACUGGAAACCAGAACUGGAUGAGGCCAGCGAUUGGGCAGGAGAAGGUUUCCAAAUGGAAAUACCUGGCUUUGAUUGAUCCAUUCAGAUCAGAUCUUCCAGUAGUGUGAAGCAGCAUCACUCCACUGAGCAAUGUGGAUUUCCACCAGACCAGGAUAUGGCCCAUUCCUCUUCAAGGGACUGGAGCCAGGCGAAUGGGGCUUUUAUUUGGAAUCAGUCAAUUGCCCUUUGGGGAGAUCCAGGUACUGUGACACACCAACCCUCAGGUGCACCAUGAGGCCUCUGGAGCAGCAUCACCCAAACCUGGGGAGCUGCAAUAUGGCAGUUAGUAUCCAGUCCACACCCCACUGUAGUCAGUGGGAGUCUUUCAGUUGAAUAUAAUGGGAGCUGGAUCAGGGCCUUACUGUACACCCCCAGUGGCUCUGCCUCUCCAGUGCCAAGCGUCACAACUCUGCGGGGAAGAUGGCUGUUCCCCGGCACUGAAAGCAAACGGGGUAGGCAAAGACUUGGGGUUGGUCAUGGGGUUUCAAACACCACGAGGGGGCUCCCACGCUGUGGUAUUGAACUUGCAGAGUCUCUCACAUAGGAAGGCUCUUGCUGAGCCUGGACUUGCUGCAUCGUUCUGUGCAUGUGCGUGAGGAGGUACCACAGAGUGCUGCGCCGGAUGUGUCUGCAGCAAAAGACAACUAGACACACGCAUCCUGAGAUUCUUGGAAUCCGUCUGCUGAAUAUUAAAGAACCCCCUAAUGGUCCUGGGGCUGCUGCCAAAGCGACAGGGCUUUAUCCAUGCUGUGAGGUACUGCCGGGAGCUGUGCGUGCCUCUACGGAAGUAUUUCGGAAUGAAUGGGGAAGUGCAUAUAGGAAAGGCUGCACAGCAAUCUGUAUAUGAGGGUGUGUGCAUCUCUGGAGGAGUGUACACGUGUGGUUUUGUACAGGGUGACUGCAGAAAAUGGGCAUAGCAGAAUGGCCUAGUGCAGUGGUUCUCAAACAUUAGCAACCCGAGGACCCCCAUUUUGAUUUAAAAUUUUUCAUGGACCCCGAAGCCGGCUUCUACUUUUCCCUGCGGGGGGGGUGCUCAACCCCUGCUCAGCCCCAGGUCCUGCCCCCACUCCACCCCUUCCCCCAAGGCCUGCCCCCCACCCCUCCUCUUCCCCGCCUCUUUCCACCUCUCCCUGAGUGCACCCCGUCCCUGCUCCUUACCCUCCCUCCCAGCACCUCCUGCACACUGCUGAACAGCAUGGAGGGAGGGAGAGGAGUUGAUCAGCAGAGCCGGUGGCCCCACACAUGACUCACGGACCCCUGGAGCUGGACAUGACUCGUGGACCCCCAGGGGUUUGGACCGUGGUCCCUAGUUUGAGAACCGCUGGCCUACUGGAUAGGACGCUGAACUGGGACUCAGGAGACCUGAGUAUUAUUCUUGGCUCUGCUGCUGCUUUGCUGGGUGACCCUGAGCAAGUUAAUGCCUGCUCUGUGCCUCAGUCUCCCUAUCUGUAAAAUGGGGAUAAGGAUAUACUCAUUUGUAAAGUGCUUUGAGAGCUACUAAUGAAAAGCACUAUUAAAAGAGCUAGGUGUGAUUAUUA